AUCUCUCAGCUAUAACUCGCCAAAUGGGAAUGGAUAUGGAAGGAGAGAUGUUCAUCUAUGUCCAUGGAAAGACUGGCUUGCUCUCAGCGAAUUCGGCUGUGAUUUCUUUGAUUAAAUCCAGUGACAGGAGACACAGUAUUACACAUGACUGUGUCUAAUAGGCAAGAGAAGGUGACAGCUAACAUGAUGAAUUUAUUAGUUUUUAAAGAGAAUAAGUUGGGAACCAAAGAAGAAUGUGUUAGUUACUUGGAUGGAUGUUACGAGAAGAGCUGGAACAUGAACAUUGUCCUUGGAGCUGAAAAUACCCACACAAAAAAACAGCUCAAUGGGAAAUGUUGAAAUGUGCAAGAAAAUCAAUAGCAGAGACCCCUCAUUAAUUUUCAGAUGAAAUAUCAUGCCUAGUUUUCUAAUAAAUCUACGAACCCACCCACCCAGUUUUUUUGGCUAUUAAAGUUGGUCAAAUUUGACAUCGAAACCUUCCAUCUCUAGUAUCUAAUGUGUCAAGGCCCGGCUGUCACUACCUUGUACAUGAAUAUAUGAAGAACGGAAGCAUACAGUCCGUAUUGUCCUUGGCAUCAA